UUUAAUGUUAAUGUUAUUACUGUGUUUUAUCAGAUCCUGUCUGAUCUUGGAAGAUAAGCGAGGUCAGCCCUAGUUAGUACUUGGAUGGGAGACCAACAACAAAUGUCAGCUAUUUUAAGC
rnacentral:rRNA from 1 species